AAUAUAUGUACAUAUAUAUAAUGGUAUUUACUAUCUUGUUACAUAGUUAUAAUGUGAGUAAUGCUAUUAGCCUAAGACGCGGUGGUUCCUUUAAUAGCUUGUAAAUGUAGAUAAUUUUAGCUAAUAUCCACUGUUUAAUUAUGGAAAUUUAAUACGACAUAGAAGGUGAAAGAGAAAUAGCAGUUAUUUGUUAGUUAUUAUUCUAUUCUUCCAUGAGGAAUUAAUCUUUUUUGGCAUGCUACAUGUGUUUAUACUAGGAUUUUAAAAUGCCCAGGAAAGCUCGCUUCAAGAAAGGCACAAGAGUGGAGCCACCACAUCAACAGCCUCCAGCUGCACCUCUUGUGUCUUUACCAUCCGAUGACAAUGACUGGCUCAUCCCUCCGCCCCCCAGUAAUGGUGGUGUCUCCACAGCGGCUCCUCUGCAACCCUUUCGUCCGCCCAGGAGCGAACCAAGACCAGAGCCACAAGCCGCUAACGAAGAGCAAGUCAUGGAACCGUGCAAUGAAGACAUUGACCUGGAGGGGAACGAGGUAGAUUCGUUUGACGAACACAUUGACAGGAUGUUUGCUGCUUCUGAUGCUGAAAAGUGCAAAGGAUGAAACACUACUGAGUUUUGGGAUGUUGAUCUCAUUGGUAACAAAUUCUGAAGGAAUAGUCAAGCAAGCUAAAAUGAGUGUGAGGGAGGCUAUGGAGCGGUCUCUUAAUGGUAGCAAGAUCAUACUGAGGUUCAAUGAGGAACUGCAAGCAGUCGGAGAUGGAGCUGGACAUUGUCGUCACAGGAGAUGUUCCACUUUCAGGAUAGCUGUGGUAGAAUCAAGAAAAUAAUUUUGCAAAAAAUGGGGAGGUCCUGGAAAGACACAAGGGGGAGGCUGUAUAACUCGCAUUACAAACCAACAAGGACACUUGAGCAGAAUCUUGAGAAGCGCCCGAAGGAAAUUCCUAGAGAGCAUUGGAGGUGGUUCAUUGAUUAUCGUAAUGAUCCUGCAACAAAGGCGAAGUGCAAGCAAAACACGUUGAAUCAAAAGAAGCAACUUUACACACACACUGGCGGUUCUAAAAGCUUGGCUAGGACAAGGAAAGAAUAGUCACAAAAACAAGGGAGGAGAGUUGGUAGGGGAGAAGUAUGGAUCCUAAAGCACAAAAGAUCUGAUGGCAGCUAUAUACAUGAAAAAGUUUAG